ensembl:lncRNA
GUUUUGAACGCGCUGUUGCACAGGCAAAGGCGGGAGCUUGAGGCUCCUUUUACUUUACCCAGAAUACAUUUUAUGGUUAUGGCAGACAGACAAGAAGUCAGAGAAAGAUGCAAUUCCGUUUCGAUUAACAUCCCUAACUCUGGACUUCACUACGUCUCCACUGUUCUUAUGGAGUUCCUAGCCUUCAAUUCCUAAAUAUGAAAAAGCCCUAUAAAAAGAGACUAUCAGACGCACCCGAGGGCUCUUGGAUUUGGGGGUGGAAACUCUGUCGACCGCCUCCUUCCUGGUGGGCAGCCAGCUCCUGCAGCAGCGCGUCCUCGUCUCCUGUCAUCCCAGCAGGUCCAGACAACCAAUGACUCCAGAAGUCCGACUCUUCACUGAAGGACGGAUCCUUCGACGAGCACCUGAACAAUCAAGUGACAUUCAAAACACUCAGCCUAUGAAUCCCAAUUUUUAUUUUAAAAAAGUGAUUUAGUGGACAGAAUUCCAAGAAAUGUCAUUCACUGGAGGUUUCCUCCGCUUAUUUGAUUUCAGUAUCUCCUCCACCAUGAAGGCUCGAGGAAGCUUGUGGCUUGAGUAAAACCCGGACUGGUCUGCGCCAUCUGAACUAUUCUCUCUCCACUCCCAACGAACUGGACUGCGAGAUUCUACCCACUCCCACACUCUGGCCGAUACAGUCGCAAACCCCGGGACAGUGCACAACGGACUAGAUUGAGUUGUACCCACUCCCGCUCUCCGGCUGAUUUGGUCGCAAAUACC